AGAAAAACGUUGAUUGAGAGUAGUAGAAAGAAAAGAUUCUUUUUAGAGAGCGAGUGCUUUGCUGGGAAACUCGUAGGAAUAACUUUUGAACUUGCUCAUGAGUUGUAAGGUUUAAUUUAAAUCUUAUCGGUAUAUCUACCGUUAUUUUAAGUAAGUAUAAUUUUGGAUGGUACCGCGUAAAUCGCUCCAAUA
rnacentral:ncRNA from 1 species